GGCCCAAAUCGGAGGUAGAGUAGACAAGUGGGAUCAGCUGACCAUACUAAUCUACUCUACUUCAACUUUGUACUC
rnacentral:pre_miRNA from 1 species